ACUAAUGGUUCUAAUGACAUAACAAGUAGAUUUUAGUGAAUGUUAAUAAGUAUUAAAUAUAAACACAAGCAGCAUUCAACCAAUUACACCAAUCAGUAUGUAGUUGGGGAGUGAAGGCUUGCCCGUGUGCUACUAUAGCUCAGACUGCUCAGGAAGUUAAUGCUGGUUCUGGUGGAAAGGUGUGAGAAUACACAGUGCAUCACAGUUUGUUGUGUAUGAGGCUGCAUAGCACACAAUAAUGGAAGAAGGUGGCCUGGUCUGAUGUAUCACUUUUUCUUUUACAUCACAUGGAAUACCAGAGUAACUCAUGGCACCAGGAUGCACUAUGGGAAGAAGGCAAGCUGGAGGAGGCAGUGUGAUGCUUUGGGUAAAUGUUCCGCUGGGAAACCUUGUGUCCUACCAUCCAUGUGGAUGACAUGUACAACCUACCUAAGCAUUACUGCAGACCAUGUACACCCUUUCAUGGAAAUAGUAUUCCCUGGUGGCUGUGGCCUUUUUCAGCAGGAUAAUGUGCCCUGCCACAAAGCAAAUAUGGUUCAGGAAUGGUUUGAGGAGCACAACAAGUUUGAGAUGUUGACUUGGCUCUCAAUCUGAUCGAGCAUCUGUGGGAUGUGCUGAACAAACAAGUCAGAUCCAUGGAGAUCUUACCUCACAACUUACAGGACUUAAAUGAUCUGUUGCUAAUAUCUUGGUGCAAGACACCUCAGCACACCUUCAGGGGUCUAAUGGAGUCCAUGCCUCGACGGUUCAGCGAUGUUUUGGCAGCAAAAUGGGGACUAACACAAUAUUAGGAAGGUGGUCAUAAUGUCAUGCCUGAUCGGUUUUACAUCUGAUGUGAGGUUGGAAACCACUUCAGACAAUUUUCAUUUUAACUGACUGAAAACAAAAUCCAUGGGGAAUUUGAAACAGGAUGGAAGCAAAAGCUUAAUAAAAUAAGGCACACUGAAAAAGUGAAACAGACAUGGAAAUUAUAUGCAAAUAUUGGGGUAUGCUAAAUAGACCAUAAGUACUUGAAUAGAUACUGUUUAAUGAAACAUUAUGCACACUUAUAACAA